CUUGCUGCGUCGCCCCCUCCAAAAAAAAAAACCCUUUCCUUGCUAAGACAAAAAAUCUUUCCCUGCGUCGUCAAUCGGUGGUUCUGGUGGUUCUGGUUCCUCGUCGGUGGUUCUGGUUCCUCGUCGGUGGUUCUGGUCUCUUUUCUCACCUCCUCUCCUCCUGUUAGCUUUCUCGGUCGGUGGUUCCAAGAAAGAAGUUAGCUUGCCCGGCCGGUGGUUCCAAGAAAGAGGUUGCUCGGCUGGUGGUUCUCCGUCAAUCUCCUCGCCGCGACAAGUAUGCUCGUGAAGAGACGAGACAUGAUAAUGGAUCACUGCUGACUUAGGACUACAACAUAGAGCUGGCGGAUCAAAGAGGACAGAAGGUUAAAUUGGAGUAUGAGUCUGAGCAAAGGGAUCUGAUUGAAAUCCAAGUAUCUGAACGAAGAGCUUGUGCACAAGAUGAGGUGUUGAAACACGCUCUUGAUGAGCAUAAUCUAGAGCUAAGGAUAAAAGCUAGAUCUAAUCUACAUUGAUCUGUGCUGAUCUGAUCUGCACUGAUAUGUGCUGAUCUGAUCUAAUCUGAUAUCCUUCUGUAUGCUAGUGCACUGAUCUGCUGCUGCAUUUUUUGUAUUUUUUUUUGUUGUUGGCUGCUGCGCGCACAUUUCACUAACCACCCUUCUGUAUGUUUUACUUGAUGCAGGAUCAACAUAGGUACGAUGAAUGAAAACCAAAUUGUUGUUGGGUAUGAAUCAUAAGGAUUACAUAGAAGAACUCGAAAAGCUUCCCAAAGCUAAUAUGUUUGACUUGUUUCAAAAGAGGUAUCUACGUUCUGUAACGAUAGGAGUUGGAUUGAUAGUUUGCCAACAGUUUGGGGGAAUUAACGGUAUCUGCUUCUAUGUCAGCAAUAUCUUUGAGACGGCUGGAUUUUCUCCAAGCAUUGGUACUAUAAUAUAUGCUUUGCUUCAGGUGCCUUGGUUGUUGGCAGUGUCUCUGAAGCCGAAAGUUUUUGAAGGGAUGCAUGUAAAGCCCUAGCUUUACUCUCACCUGGCCCAAAACCUGACUGAGCUAAUUGAUCAAGCAGUAAAAGGAACACUGAAUGUCCUUACAUCCUGCGCCAGAAUCCCAACCAUCAAACGCGUAGUUUUCACAUCAUCAAUGGCUGCAGUUCUGCUCAUUGGUAGACCUCUAACUGCUGAAAGUGUAGUAGAUGAAACAUGGUUUUUUGUCCCAGAAAUCUGCGAGAAACAACAAAUGAAGUGGUAUCUUUUCUCAAAGACAUUGGCUGAAGAAGCUGCAUGGGAUUUUGUUAAAGAACAUGAGCUUGAUAUGGUGUUGAUAAACCCUGCAAUUGUUAUAGGCCCUUUGCUGCAGCCAACAAUCAAUACAAGUUCUUUUGCUGUUUUAAGCUUGGUUAAUGUUAUGAUCAUCUUGGCUUUAUGUAUAUGUUGCUGGAAUUUUAUGCUCUCUAAUAAUAUGUCAUCUCAUGAGACAUAGAACUUCAAGUGUCUAAAGUACUCCAUACCAUACUUGACUUCCAUUGAUAUUUCAUGUACUAAUUGUAAUUUGCUUAAAAUGUGCAGUCACCGUUGGUUUUUUCCAAGGGAAUGAAAAAGGUGGACAUGCUGACAAAUGACUUGGUCUAUACUCCAAGGAAUACGUCUUAUGCUAGUGAGGAACUUGAUGUGGUUCGUGAGCAAUGGGCUGCAAGUAUUUAUUAUUGGCCUAAGGGCGCUUGAUCGAGUUAGUUUAGAUGUUAUAGAACAAUAUUCUAUGUUAAAAUGUAUGUGUACGUUGAAAUUGGAACAUACAUAUAUUUAAAAUAAUAUGGUAUGUGCACUUUAGUUUUGGGAUAUCUUCAAAACUCCAUUU